UACGAAGGGGGCUAGCGUUGUUCGGAAUUACUGGGCGUAAAGCGCACGUAGGCGGAUAUUUAAGUCAGGGGUGAAAUCCCAGAGCUCAACUCUGGAACUGCCUUUGAUACUGGGUAUCUUGAGUAUGGAAGAGGUAAGUGGAAUUGCGAGUGUAGAGGUGAAAUUCGUAGAUAUUCGCAGGAACACCAGUGGCGAAGGCGGCUUACUGGUCCAUAACUGACGCUGAGGCGCGAAAGCGUGGGGAGCAAACGGG
rnacentral:rRNA from 1 species